rnacentral:lncRNA from 1 species
AUGCCUUCUCCUCUCUUUUCCCUAUUAGCUCCCCAUUUCUGCCUUUCUCAGCUACCUCACCUCCUAUCUGCCAGUUCUCUACCAUUCUACUCUGCCCGGCUCCUGCCUGCCCUACCCAAACCAUCUCCCCACCUCUAUGUAUUUUCUUCAUCCCUCAUUCCUCCCACCGAUCCCAAGACCCCUCUCUCCUCUCCAGCUUCUCCCUACCACCACAACCCCUCCUCCUGUCUGGCUCCUCUUCACCUCCUCCUCCCGCUAACUCCUCAUUCCCUGCCCAGCUCCAUCACUGCCUCCUCCUCUCGUUCCCCCCCCCCCAAGCUUUUCUAUCCCCAACCUCGCAGGCGGCAUCGGCGGCGGGCCUUCCCUACCCCCCGGAUCCCCACCCCCCCUCAGCCACUGCACCCACAGCUCGGGCAGGGGAGGGGGCUGUGGCCCCUGGAGGGAGGGGCGGGGCGGAGAGGCGGGCGCGGGGGCUCGCGGAUGGCGCAGGCCGGGCUGGGAUGGCGGAGAGGGGCUCGUCCUCACCAGAGGGUAGCAGCGGGAGAAGGCGGCGGCAGCGGCUGCUGCGGCGGCAAUGCCCUGGUCUCCCCCGGCGGCGGCGACGUGCCCGGUCCCUCGGCCGCGGCAGAGGCAGAGGCAGCAGCAGCACCAGCGGAGCCCGACGAGUUGGGGGAGGGGACACACGGGGGAGGGGAGGAGGCGGGGGCGGGGGCGGGGGAGGACCUGGCGCGCCGUCGCCAACACGUUCCUCCUCUCGGUUUCUGAUUGGGGCGGGGGCGGGAGUUGAGCGGGAUGGACUCCAGUGCCCAGCAUGCCCCACGGCCUCGUCGAAGCCUACAACUCCCAGUGUGCAUCGGGCUCCGAUCCUCCCUGCCUCAUCUUUCUCCCGUCUCUCUGCUCGAAAGGUGUGAUUAGUGCGCCACCUCCAGACCCGCCGCUGCCACCACUAUCCCAGACCCCGAAGGACUAAGCUUCCUGGCCGCGAGUGCCACCUUUCCUUUCCUUGCUCACGGUACCCAAACUAUACAUUCCCCAAAGGUGGGGGUUGGGAAGAAGAGUGUCCAGCCCCGAUGCAUGCUGGGGAUUGUAGUCCAGCAUCUCAGGCGCGGUUAUGACUCCAUGUUGGAAAAAAAUAAAAUAAAAUUCAGAGGAAAAAAAAGAAAGAAA